GACGAACGCUGGCGGCGUGCUUAACACAUGCAAGUCGAACGGAAAGGCCCCUUUGGGGGUCCUCGAGUGGCGAACGGGUGAGUAACACGUGAGUAACCUGCCCUUGGCUUCGGGAUAACUUCAGGAAACUGGGGCUAAUACCGGAUAGGAAUCCUUGCUGCAUGGUGGGGGUUGGAAAGCUUCGGCGGUUUUGGAUGGACUCGCGGCUUAUCAGCUUGUUGGUGGGGUAGUGGCUUACCAAGGCUUUGACGGGUAGCCGGCCUGAGAGGGCGACCGGCCACAUUGGGACUGAGAUACGGCCCAGACUCCUACGGGAGGCAGCAGUGGGGAAUAUUGCACAAUGGGCGGAAGCCUGAUGCAGCAACGCCGCGUGCGGGAUGACGGCCUUCGGGUUGGAAACCGCUUUCAGCAGGGGCGAAGCUUGUGGUGACGGUACCUGCAGAAGAAGCACCGGCUAACUACGUG
rnacentral:rRNA from 1 species